GUCUUCGUAGUGUAGUGGUCAGCACGCUCGACGCGUAAUCUAGAGGUCCGUGGUUCGAGUCUCGGCGAAGGAA
rfam:Stegodyphus mimosarum contig80988, whole genome shotgun sequence.